UUUGUGUCCAAGGCAGAGUUUGAGAAGCUAGUUCCCCAAGAGGCCUGGGUCAGGACUGAUAAAUCCCAGAUCUGCUACUUCCAAGCUGCAUGGCCUUGGGCAAGUCACUUCCACUUUCUGAGCCUCUGUUAUCUUAUCUUUGAAAUGUGAUGGAUAAUAGUCCCUAUCUUGCAAGUUGUCAAACCCUUUUUUUUUUUUUUUCCUUGAGAUAGGAUCUUACUCUGAGACCCAGGCUGGAGUGCACUGGUGUGAUCUUGGCUCACUGCAACCUCUGCCUCCCUGGCCCAAGCAAUUCUCCUGUCUAAGCCUCCUGAGUACCUGGGGCUCCAGGUGUGCGCCACCAUGCCCAGCUAAUUUUUGUACUUUUGUAGAAACAGGGUCUCACUGUGUUGCCCAGGCUGGUCUCCAACUUCUGAGCUGAAGCAAUCCACCUGCCUUGGCCUCCCAAAGUGUGGGAUUACAGGCAUGAGCCACUGCACCUGGCUGCUGAAGCUUUUUAAAAGAGCUGAGGGCUGGGAUGUACUUAGCUCCACGUCCAGCACUGAGUAAAUGCUUAACGAAUGACUGUGUUACUACCAAGAAUUAUUGUUUCACUCUCCCUCCUUCCCUCUCCUCUGCUGCCCCAAACUACUCAGCAUCCUGGCACUGCAGGCUCGCACUUAGCCCUGGAUACCCAGAUUCAUCCUCCUCCCCUGGGAUGGCAUAGAAGAGACUUUAAAACCAAAUGAGCCAAGACUCCAAGCUCUGACCACACCUCCCACCCCACCAGUCUUCUCUAUGCACCCCCUCUAUCUGGAGCCCCCAGCCAGGUCCUGGACCCAGGUAGCUACAUGGCAGAGCAUUUAAUGUGUGCCUGGCAGCCAUGGGCACCAUUCUCCACACAGAAGGCAGGGGACAGGUGCACAAGGCGCUGAGACCCCAGCAGGGCUAACUGUCCUUGUCUCAGGAGCCCUACCUGGCCAGUCUUGGGCCAGGCCUUGGGGACUGGGAGUAGGGGCUGAGCCCCGUCUGUACAGUCUCUGGCCCCAUGGGCACCAGGUGCCAGCUCCUCGCACCCAGUACUCCCAUUGCUAGGGCUGCUGGAACCUGCAGGGUGGCAGAGCUGGGCAGGACUCACCCUAUAACCAUGUCCACUGUGGUGCUGCUGCUGCAGAGAAGUGUUUCCAAUGCUGCGACCCGGGUGUGUAGGACGGGGAGGUCACGAUGGCGCGACGUCUGCAGAAAUUUCAUGAGGAGGUAUCAGUCUAGAGUUACCCAGGGCCUCGUGGCCGGAGAAACUGCCCAGCAGAUCUGUGAGGACCUCAGGUUGUGUAUACCUUCUACAGGUCCCCUCUGAGCCCUCUCACCUUGUCCUGUGGAAGAAGCACAGGCUCCUGUCCUCAGAUCCCGGGAACCUCAGCAACCUCUGCCGGCUCCUCGCUUCCUCGAUCCAGAAUCCACUCUCCAGUCUCCCUCCCCUGACUCCCUCUGCUGUCCUCCCCUCUCACGAGAAUAAAGUGUCAAGCAAGA
rnacentral:lncRNA from 1 species